CAUUACCGAGUUGAUUGGAGUUCCGGCUUC
rnacentral:rRNA from 1 species